UACGGAGGGAGCUAGCGUUGUUCGGAAUUACUGGGCGUAAAGCGCGUGUAGGCGGCUCGGUAAGUCUGCUGUGAAAGUCCAGGGCUCAACCCUGGGAUGCCGGUGGAUACUGUCGAGCUCGAGUCCGGAAGAGGCGAGUGGAAUUCCUGGUGUAGCGGUGAAAUGCGCAGAUAUCAGGAGGAACACCAAUGGCGAAGGCAGCUCGCUGGGACGUGACUGACGCUGAGACGCGAAAGCGUGGGGAGCAAACAGG
rnacentral:rRNA from 1 species